GAUGAACGCUGGCGGCGUGCCUAAUACAUGCAAGUCGAGCGAACAGACGAGGAGCUUGCUCCUCUGACGUUAGCGGCGGACGGGUGAGUAACACGUGGAUAACCCACCUAUAAGACUGGGAUAACUUCGGGAAACCGGAGCUAAUACCGGAUAAUAUAUUGAACCGCAUGGUUCAAUAGUGAAAGACGGUUUUGCUGUCACUUAUAGAUGGAUCCGCGCCGCAUUAGCUAGUUGGUAAGGUAACGGCUUACCAAGGCAACGAUGCGUAGCCGACCUGAGAGGGUGAUAGGCCACACUGGAACUGAGACACGGUCCAGACUCCUACGGGAGGCAGCAGUAGGGAAUCUUCCGCAAUGGGCGAAAGCCUGACGGAGCAACGCCGCGUGAGUGAUGAAGGUCUUCGGAUCGUAAAACUCUGUUAUUAGGGAAGAACAAAUGUGUAAGUAACUAUGCACGUCUUGACGGUACCUAAUCAGAAAGCCACGGCUAACUACGUG
rnacentral:rRNA from 1 species